UCACCGAAUCAUACAAGAAAAAGAAAAGAAAGGAUCGAGAGAGAGAGCAACCAAGAAACUUCCAUGGAACCGUGACUUUUAACUCCAAUUUUCUUAUGAUCCGUAACUCCAAUAAAAAAUCUAAUCCGGUAAAAAUGUUCGUAUUCUCCUCCUCUACACGUUGGCGUUAUUUUUGUCCGGUAGAAAUUGAUGGUGACGUAGCUCCUCUUUUCUUUGAGUUCAGCCAAUUGGAGUUCUAGGAGACGCAGGCGAUUUCUGACACUUUUCUUUUCAGCAGCUCGAUUAGAAAGUUUCUCCGGAGCUUUUGUUAUUUUGGUUCCGUAUGGAGUGACACAGGUUCAAAGAUUCAGUUUGAAGUCGCGGGCGAAUAUUAGCCUUAUUUGAGUUAAAUUUAUGUGUUGAGUUGCUUUCAUAGAAUUCCCUCGCCCUUAUUAUUUAAGAUUUUAUUCUAUAUAGAGGGAUAGGAGUUGUAACUGAGUUUUAUUUGAAUUCUGUUGUAUGAUAUUUAUUAUUAUUAAUAACUAUGUGAUUAGUAUUGCUUGAGGAUCU